AUGCUCGCUUCGGCAGCACAUACACUAAAAUUGGAACAAUACAGAGAUUAUCAUGGCCCCAGUGCAAGGAUGACAUGCACGUUCGUGAAGCAUUCCGUAUUUUU